rnacentral:rRNA from 1 species
UACGAAGGGGGCUAGCGUUGUUCGGAAUUACUGGGCGUAAAGGGCGCGUAGGCGGUGUGUCAAGUCAGGCGUGAAAGCCCCGGGCUCAACCUGGGAACCGCGCUUGAGACUGGCACGCUAGAGUUCGGGAGAGGAUGGUGGAAUUCCCAGUGUAGAGGUGAAAUUCGUAGAUAUGGGAAGAACACCGAUGGCGAAGGCAGCCAUCUGGGACCGACACUGACGCUGAGGCGCGAAAGCGUGGGGAGCAAAGCAGG